ensembl:lncRNA
CAGAACCUGUCAAAAAUCCAGAACGCACCAAGCCAACUCCCACAUCUGUUCUAGACACUCGAUCAGAUUCAUAUUCACACAGUUCAAACCGCCGUGUGUCACGUCCAUGAACUGAAGACAUUCAUCAUCAUAGAGAUUGAAGAAGAAGAUUUAGCGAAGCGCUGGUUAACGGCAGAUAAGAAACCGAUACUGAGAAUCAGUUGUGCAGGCUUAUACUGUGACGGAAUAUUGCUGCUUGUAAAUAUAUUCCACAGAUGGAGUCAAUGACCAAAACACCAGCUAGAAAUGCAUAUUUGUGUGUGUUUCCUGUGCAUUGGAGAAUCAGUUUAGGUAUGUAAGUGGUAUGUGUGACAGCAUCUGUCUGGGACCAGAAGAAUCACCAGAGACUCCAUUACAAUCAGCUUCAUAAUGGGCGUGAACGUCGUGCAUUUCUCCAAUUCAGAAUUUUGUUGCUUUUUUUCUGCCUAAAAUGGCUCGUUUGAUGAGAAAUGCUCCCAGAGCUCCACGAAAGCUCGGCCAGCAGCAAAGUUGGACAGCGGCUCGGUGCUCAAAGUGUCAUCGAACAUGAAAAAGGCCUUCCCUAUAAGCAUUUCCUUGGCCUUGACAGCUUGCUAAUGAGGCUAUUGAUUGCAGUAACACAUGCUGAUGAAGGAUCAAUGGGCCAGGCGCCAUAGGGUGACAUCUGUUAACAAUGCUGGAUGAUUAAUUUAAUAUGUGGCUGGGAAACUCAAUCUCUCUCUCUGGCCAAUCAUGCUGGAGGUAGCUCCCAUCGAAAAGAAGUGACGUUCACUGCAAGAAUGAAGAAACAAAGCAGGUCUCCAAUCAGUAAAAGCUUACCAAAGAGCUCCCUCUCAGCAACAAGAGAAUCCAAACCACAAUGGAUGAGAUUUCCCUCUGACUGCUGCCGAUGAAAUUUGUAGAUAAAGGCGGAGCUCCCCCACCUUGAACAAGCACGCACGCGCAAAGACACACAACGCAAACGUGCACACACAGACGGACACAAACAAACCGCAAUCAAAAUUUGACGGUUGUUUGUUGGAUACUGAAACAUGGACAGGUGUCACAGUUCAGCUUCACCCCCUCCUCGCGCUACUCAUCAGUCUGUCAUAAGUCCCCUCACCUGUUCUCUCACCUGCAUCUGAUCAUCCAUCAAACCACUGUACAGACUCCUGCUGCUCAGACACACAGGUUUUCCGUGACGGACCCUCCCGCGGACUGACACCCUGUUACCGACCCGGCCUGCCUUUCCCCGUUCUUCCCGCCUGGCCUGACUCCCGGUAAACCCAUUUGAUUGCUGUUCUGGAAGGAUUGUAAUAUAAGCCAAAGAUCCCUGUAAUCUUGUGUGUUAUAUUUUGGUCUUUUUAGAACUGGUUACAGACGGGUUUACAUGCGCACACACACACAUUCCCCAUUGUGACACGUUACGAAUAUUAAGAAUACCUCUGAACCUCAUCCAAGAAAAUUUUCCAAACUGCUAAUGGUUUCAAUGGAAAGUUGUGUGCCUGCUUGAUAACCAUUUGGGUGCAAUUUUAAGCUAUUAAUACUUCAUUUUGGUAAUUGUGGGGUCAUCUCUGGGGUGUCUAGAUAUUUCCUCAACAGCUGGCUGCAAAACAGAGUUUGGUCUGGUCUGUGAGACAAUAAAAGCUCAGAGUCUGGCUAGACUUACUGUCAAAUCAAAGGUGAUUUUCUUUUUUCUUUUUUGGCACUUGUUUGGUUGAAUUAAACAAUGAAGACUGACAUGCAAGAUGAGAGUGACAAGAACUGCUGUAAUAUACAGAAAAAGACUGAAUAAUCACACCACAUAUGGUCGUCUUAUGAAAACCCGACAAUAUAAACUCUAUACAGAGACAAGGAGAACAAUCCACAUCAACUCUUUGCACGCGCUCAAUGUUAAUAAAAGGUUGACCUUUGUCUAGUCCUUUUACCAACUCAAGCAACAGCCCAAAUUAUUUCCAUCCUCAUGAUAUAUUUUUAUUAUAUAAAGACACAUUUCUAAAUGCAUUAUACCACAACUUGGAAC